rnacentral:tRNA from 1 species
AGUAAAAUGGCUGAUCAAAAGCAGCGGAUUGUAGCUCCGCCCAUGGAGUUUUUCUUCUUUUACUA